GAUGCAGCCAGCCCUGGGAGCACAGGUGGAAGCAAUUCAACCUCGUGACUGGAAGGGGUGGACCCUGUCUCCAUCCCCUCCUAACCUCAUUUAAGGGCUGGCAGCCACAAGGAAAGGGUGCUUCUGUGGAGAUCCCUCCUUUUGGAGUGUUUAGUGAGCCCUGAUCAUUGGAUGGGUGACCACAAGUCUUCUGCAAGUGCUGAAAAGCAGUUUGCUGCCCCUGCAUCACCAGCUGUGCAGACACGUUUAGUACCUGUGCUCGACGGACGAGGCUGAUGGGAUCCGGCCCAAAGGUGUAGGUGGGAGAAUCAUUACAAGAUGAUGUGCUGGGCUCUGCUUUAGAAGCUGGGAUUUAUGUUGGAGCUCUUCCUUCUGACCUGGAGCUGCCUUGCAAGCUGCCAUUGCUCUGACUUUCUCAAUGGAACCUCAUGGGUGGUGAAGUGAGUUGAGAAAAUCCAAACCAAAACUGCUUAAAGAGUCACCAACCACCAGACCAGGCUGCCCGGAGCCACAUCCAGCCUGGGAAGAUGAAUGUGAAGAUGGAGAUGUCCUGAAGGAGGCUUCCAAAAGUCUCAGAGAGAACACACUGGUAUCUGAUGAGGCAGUGCAGGAAUUGUUACCCAGAUGAGGCCCGUUCUUGGCUCAACAUUGUUUGAGAUGCCUCUUCUGCCCUGCCUCGUGUUGGAAGAACUCCUCAUAUCUGUGCCUGCCUCUUCUCCAUGGUGGUUUUAACACCAGGACUGCCACACCACUCUGGCUGAGGCAACAAGGAAGGCCACAACCUAACUGUAUUUUAAAUAACCACGUAAUGCUUCAGUAUCUCAACUACUUCUUGUGAAGCAGCUUCUAUCAUAUCUGAAAGAUGAGUUAUAAUUUGGAGAUUGGCCUUGGUGAUCUCCAGAGGUCCCUUUCAACCCUUAUGGUUCUGUGGUUAUCAGUCGUGGGUAAGCAGAACUGGCAGCUGAAUGAGGUACUGGGGCUUAAACGAUGCACUGAGCUUGGGAAUGGUCUGAGGGCUGGCACACCUCUACAGCAGUGCUUUCUAUUUGUGUUCUUCAAGCACGUUUUUGCUGGAGAACACACAGGGCCACACAGUGAUGGAUGGGGUGUGCUGUCAUUUUGAGUCACCGGCAUUUUGGGAUGGAAUAGGAAAGCUCUUUAAAAGCAGCCAGUGUCACAUUUGCAGCUUCAUUUUCAUGGGCGAAUAUUGCUUUGAGACUAAUGUAAGCUCUGUGUAUUAUUUGGUACUGAAAGUGUGCUAUGGAAUUUCAUUUCAAAGUACUCUCAGGGUCAUUUAUGCGCAUAUAAUGGGUGGAUAAGUCAAACAAAGAGCCCUUCUCUGCCACUCUGGGCACCAGGUCACGCUGAGGCAUCCAUGCUGGGAGCCAGAAUAGAGACCAGCACAAGUUUGUUGCUUCACUAUCCUGCUUUCUGCCCCCAAUACCCAUCUGCUCAGCUCUGCUUCUGCAGAGCAUGGAGGCAGUGGCUGAGGUUUGUGAUACUGAGGAGGAGGGGAAGGUGGUGCAGUCAAUGGUGAGGGCUGAUGUGUUCUGGGGGCAGCUGGUAGGAAGCUGGCAUCAGUGUGCUCUGUGAGCCCACCCUGAGCUGGCAUUCCAUUGAGAGCCUUUUUAGAGGCUGUGUGUUGUUUUGUCUAAUAGAAAACAAGCUUUGCAAAUGAGCUGCUGAGCACUUUAGCAGGGAGUAUUUUUUUUUUUGCAUGUUUGCAAUAUUCAGUUCAGGCAUUGACAGCUGUGAACUUCACAAUGAGACUGACACUUGAGAUCUGUGUAAAGGUCAAUUUUUUAAUUGUGCCUUAUAGAUAAAAGAAAUAUCUACAUCGAUAUAGUCUAAUCGCAUUGAUUUCAGCACGGAGUUUUCAAUUAUUAUUCAGAAUUCUCUGUUAUCUCGUUGCAGUCCCACAGCCUUAGCAGGCAGUGCAAUGCUCCAUGAGAUAACCUUUAACUCAUGCUGCUGGGUCAAAAGUGAGUUGUGAUGAGUACUCCCUGCCCUUCCACAGUGAACUGUCUGGGUAAGGAAGGCAUCUGUUGCUGCAGUGCAGAUCAUGAUGCACUGAGGAUGCCUUCAGUUCUGAUACGGUAUAUUGGCUGUUUGCAGGUCUGCUGGUGUACAAAUAAGCCAAGAUCUCUUCCAUGCAGGAAGCUGCACUGCAGGGCAGUGGGAGGAAUGACUGUGAUUAUCCCAUUACAAAGAGAAGGAUGUCUUAACAUUGGAAUCAUUGCUCGUGUUUUAGAGUGACCUUGUAAAGUAUGGUUCAUCACAGGGGGAUCGAUACUAAAUAAUAAUGCUUCUGCUUAGUUCCAGUAAAUACCUUGGGUUUAUCUAGGAGGUAUCACUCAGCUGUUUCCAACAGCUUCUAUGUGAUCUGCUGAAGCCAAAACACAUCUGCUUCUAAUAGGUGUGCCUGUAGGACUCUGCUGUUAGUGGUGUUCAGGGUAGCCAGAGGUACUCCCUGUUGUCUCAGUAGGAAACCUUUCAGUGUAUGAAGGACAAUGUUUCCAUGAAAAUAUCAAUACAAUGGUGGGCACACCUCCAUUGACAGUUCACAGCCCAGUAUUUCCUCCGGGCUGUUGGAGUGUGGUAUAAUGUCAAAGGUCUGCCUGUCCCUUGCUGGACAUGGGAUGGAGGUGCUUGGGGCUGCUAUGGGCUGGGCAGCCCAACAUCAUGUAUGUAUAUAUGGCCAGGCAGGAUGUGGCUCUGGGCAGCCUGGUCUGGUGGUUGGUGACCCUGCACGUAGCAGGGGGUUGGAACUGGAUGAUCUUUGAGAUCUUUUUCAACCCAGGCCAUUCUAUAAUUCAUUCUUUGAUUCUGUAUAAACAUUAAUACAUACACGUGUAUAAAAUAUUAUCACUCUGCAGCUGCAUUUGACUAUCAUCACAGAGCUUGCAUGCAUUCUAAUAAAUUCAUCAAAGGAAAAGAUCAGGCAGGUGCCAAGUGCUGCAAAAUGACCUGGACAAAGAAUGCAGAGGGUUUAGGAGUGCUUUGCAUAAAUAGGAGAAUUAUGUGCUUCGUGGAGCAAGCAGUGUUCAGGUUUAAAGACACAGAUGUGUGACAGGCAUUCAGACAGUAAAUUCUGCACCUCCAGUGAUUCUGUGAUAGAAAUGUGUGCCUAUACCUCUGUAUAAUCUGCAACAAUCGAUAAAAUCAAGCAGGUUUUUUAUGAAAACAGUUUUAUUGGAAACUUUUUUAACAGUUUAAGACUCUCUCUUGUAAGUAACUGUCCCUGGACUACUGAGGUGGGUGGAGGGCUCCAUCCCCUCCUGGCAGCCCAGGGCUGAGCCCAUAUCCCUUUCAGGACCUGGCUGCAGCACCUGCUCGCUGUUUGGCAGCCUGACAUGCUUUCUGGUUUGUCCCUUUGGAUAGUGAUACGCUGAUUCAAGCUGUACAGGAGAAACCAACAACUCAACUCUGUAUUGUGAUGAGACUCUCAGUGCUGUAUGGGCAGAAUGGGGAAGCAUUCAAGCGCGUUUCCUUUCUCAGCACGUGGGAUACAGGAGGGCAGCAAAGCGUCAGCUGUGAUGAACCACUCAUGUAUCCUUCUUGUAUCUGCAGGUCAGCUGCUGUUUAUGUUCGUUAGUAAAUUAUGUGCCAACCUCAUCACGUCACCCUGCAAUCACAGUGCUGUGUUCCAUGUGUUCAACCUCCAUACAUUUGUGUUUAUAUUGAGCUAUUGCAUCCUGCUCAGGGGUGAGGGCACCUCUCUGCUGCUGCACAAAUUGGAGAACUUCUGCUUCACCAAAGCUCAUAAUGCCUUCAAGGCAUCGGUUCCUCUCAUAGCAUUUCCCAAUCAAAGUAUUAAAAUGAGAGUUUUAUAUCCAGCCAAUACUCUUCUCAUAGCUGAUAAAGGCAAAUGAGGAAUCAUUUAUAUGAUUUAGGUUAUGAGAAGAGUAUAGGAAGAGAAUAUAAGCAAAGCAUUUAUUUCCCACCUGUAUAGAAAUGAAGCUGCUGUUUCUAAUAAAUCCUACUUGAAAAGAUGGCACUGUUAUGAAAGAACGGAGAGAGAGACCUGAGGCUUUACCUUCGUGCUGCUCCAGCCCCAAGGAGUUCAAGUGGGUUUUCUCUUUCCCAGCCCUUGAAUCAGCAGGCAGAAACUGUGGGUGCUGGCUGAAAGGGGGAGGAUGCUCUGAAGUGAGAUGUAGCUGCACCACAGCCUGGAGGCAGAAGGAGGGCUGUGUGUGCUCAGGGCUGCUGGGGGGGGAGGGUGGUUUGGAAAGCAAAACGAUCCUAUUCAACAAUAGAGGAGAAAUUAGGAGCUUGAAAAUAGCAGCAAAUUGGAAUGAAAAGAAUGCCAAUUACCAACUUUGAUCCCUCUUUUCUUUAUUUUUGUUUGAAAGAAAUAUUUUGUGAUAGACACAUCUUGAAGUUUUCCACUUUUCUUUUGUUUUAAGCAGUGGGAGAUUUGGUAAACCUGUCCUUUAUCCUGCAAAUUCCCACCCUGAACCCUUUGUCCUAAAACUUCUGACUAAUUUCUAGGUAUUUUGAAUACUUAAGUUUGAGAAGACGUGGGAACUGACGACUUCUGUCCUUCGAGGAGAUGGCAUGAAUUACUGCAAUUGGAAAAUAAUUAAGAAGCAAUUACAGAAACAAACAGAAAUCCUGUGCGUACAGCCAGGCCAUUAAAAUAUGUUCUCUAAGAAAUUACCACAGCCACGCUGGAAAGAAAAGCGACAUUUAAAUAAAGUUAUGGUUAUAACAAACUAAAAAGGAAGAAAAAACCAAAGCAAUUCGUGCUGGAAAGACAAGCAUUGGCUGCUAUGCGACUGUGCUGUAAACGUGAGUGUGUGCAAGUGGGACACGAGGGGGGAACAGCUUCAUGCCUCCCUUCUCCAGCAAGCAGCUGCUUGCAGAGCGUGCAGGAGACUGCAUAUAAGCCCAGCAUCAGUCCUGCAGGAGUCAGCAGCCAGGCACAGACUGGCUCCUGGUGCUGUCUGAUGGAGAGUGGCUGCUGGGUGGAAGGAGCUGCUGUUCCCUCCUUUGGACCCAGAGUAACUUUUAAAUCAUUCUGGGAAGAAAGGAAUGGCAUAUUUGGUGUCUCAGAUGUUCCUCGAGCAGUACGACCUGCACAGAAGUGACAUAUAGUGGACACAAAACAGCUCCUCAAUUAGGGAGACGUAGGGGCAGAAUCACAUCUCCCCAGCAGAACUCAAGAAGCCCUUCUUAGCACUACCACUGCGCAACCGAAGGUAUUUGAUCUGAAGUAUGAAGAAUGAUUUAAUCAGACAGAUUAACCUACCUGGUGCAUCUGAAACACUUCCAUUCCAUCGAAGUCCAUCAACAACAUAGGCUUUAAGUGGAGUUUUAAAAAGUUUAUGAGAAGAAUAUGGAAGGAAUAAGGAGAGUGACAAUUCAGCACGUUUUAGCUCACGUGCUUCUGCAGCAGAAGGUACAGCACUGGGAAUGGGGGCACUGCUGUGACUGACCCCACCACAGGACCUGGCCACCCCAGAGCAUAUUUUCAAGGACUAAUUUCAAGUGUACACGUUAUAAAUCUGCAAACUAUCUCUGUGAGCCGUGCAUGCUUUACAUCCCUUCAAUCCCAUUGCCUAAUAUUAGUGAAAGUGACAAGACAUUAACUGCAUAUUAAUUGAAUUUUUCACGGAUGAUUAAAAUACAGAAACUGUGCAACAGAUUUCUCCUUUGAGGUGUAAUAAAAGUGAAGGGGAAAUGAAUAAAUUGCCUAUUUUAGAGAUUUUAUAUAUAGUGCAAAUAGACAUUUUCCUUUUAGACAUCUCACCAGGAAGAAAGCAUUUGUUGCAGGGAGCAAGAUGUACUCCUGUCUGAGUGUGACACUCAGCGUGCAGUGACAUGGGCAGACCCCGGUCCCAGGCAGGAGCACAGCCCAUGGGUUUCCAGGGGGCAGGAGCAGGUACUGAGCACAGGAAUCACUGCUCCCAGCAAUGCAGAGUCACUGAAGUCAGGUAACAUCCUCCGUCCUUAAAAAAGAAGUUGUGGAUGCCCCAUCCCUGCAGGCAUUCAAGGCCAGGCUGGAUGUGGCUCUGGGCAGCCUGGUCUGCUGGUUGGUGACCCUGCACAUAGCAGGGGGUUGGAACUGGAUGAGCAUUGUGGUCCUUUUCAACCCA
ensembl:lncRNA